rnacentral:rRNA from 1 species
AUACGUAGGGUGCAAGCGUUAAUCGGAAUUACUGGGCGUAAAGCGUGCGCAGGCGGUUUUGUAAGACAGAGGUGAAAUCCCCGGGCUCAACCUGGGAACUGCCAUUGUGACUGCAAGGCUUGAGUGCGGCAGAGGGGGAUGGAAUUCCGUGUGUAGCAGUGAAAUGCGUAGAUAUGCGGAGGAACACCGAUGGCGAAGGCAAUCCCCUGGGCCUGCACUGACGCUCAUGCACGAAAGCGUGGGGAGCAAACAGGAUUAGAUACCCUGGUAGUCCACGCCCUAAACGAUGUCAACUGGUUGUUGGGGAUUUAUUUUCUCAGUAACGAAGCUAACGCGUGAAGUUGACCGCCUGGGGAGUACGGCCGCAAGGUUAAAACUUAAAGGAAUUGACGGGG